UACGUAGGGGGCAAGCGUUGUCCGGAUUUAUUGGGCGUAAAGAGCGUGUAGGCGGCUUGGUAGGUCCGCUGUGAAAACUCGAGGCUCAACCUCGAGAUGUCGGCGGAAACCACUUGGCUAGAGUCCGGAAGAGGAGAGUGGAAUUCCCGGUGUAGCGGUGAAAUGCGCAGAUAUCGGGAGGAACACCAAUGGCGAAGGCAGCUCGCUGGGACGGUACUGACGCUGAGACGCGAAAGCGUGGGGGGCAAACAGG
rnacentral:rRNA from 1 species